AUUGCGGGGAAUGUUGUCUGGCUCGAGGAAUCAAAUUCUUUAUUACUCAUAGAUCUGUAUAUUGUUUAUAGAUCUAUAAUGUUUUUGACGUCGUCGGACCAGGCUUCAUUCCCCACAAU
rfam:Solanum tuberosum cultivar DM 1-3 516 R44 scf00010_180, whole genome shotgun sequence.